AUAUAUCUACAAAAUUAAAUUGAAAUUAAUUUCGUUCGAACUAUCGACUGUUAGCACUUGCACUUUAUUGUAUAAUAUAAGCGAUUUGUACAUGCACCACAGCACCAAUUGCCUAAAGCGCAACAUAGAUAUCAAAUUUAAUUUAAAUUUAAACUUUACAAGCGAUUCUAUACCACAUAAUGUUGUUACUUGAUGCGAAGCACUUGUUUACUUGCUAUGCUCAUGAACACACCUCUGUCAUUCGUAGGAUUCACGGAUAGAAUCGGGGAAAGACAUUUUUUGACUGAAUUCUACAGAACUUUCAGAAGAUCUUACUGAAUUUCAGGACUUUUUAGAAGACUCCGGAUUUUUUUAGAUUAAUUUGAUGUUAAUCUCACAGUUUAAUCGUGUUAAUUAAAGGAGUGCGUAUCACUCAGGAGUCUAAUCUCCAAAAUUAGGUCAAGUACAGAAUCGUACAAAAAUUCUAACACGGCGCUUGUGCCACAACACACGACAAUUCGAUGAAAAAGUGAAACUUUCAACAUGUUGCACAGUUCUUUGGCAGUUAUAGUGUGAGAAAAACAACAACUUUUCUACGUGCAAAUCCAACAUAUUGACUAAUUAAUGUGUCAUUUCACCAUUUCGAUCCAACCAGCAAACAUUUUUAUAAAUCUUACACUAUGACAACCCACACCGUUAAUUUUUAUUGGAGCAAUCAGCACGAUUCAGGUUGUGAGUCAUUCGGUGUAUAUAAAUUUGUGUAAUGCAUUAGAAGGGAAUUUUUGUGGAGAGUUUGUUGUUCGUUCAAUUUUUAUUUCUUCGGAAAUAGAAGAUAGAACCGUCUAUGUCAACCGAAUUUGUGUCGUGAAUUUGUCUCAGCUGCUUUACCCAACUGGUCCACUCAUAUACUCCACUACUUAUACGGCUUUAUCAUAACUCCCGCCCGCGUAUGACUUGAUAGUCGUAUGAAGGCGUAUAAGCAGUGUGUUUGUGUGAAUGGAACGUUGAUCAAAACCAUGACACAAAUUUAGAUGGCAUUGCCUGUAUAUUUUAGAACCAAGAAAAAAAAACUCUCCACAAGGAAGUCAGGCUGUAAAACGUAAAGUAAUAGUAAGGGAAAAGCAAGAAGAAACACAACAAAAAAUAAAAAUACUUUUGUAAUGAUAAUUUCAUGUUUGAAUCUAUUAUAAGUUGAUCAUUUUCAAUCUAAAUCAAACAAACCAAGUUACAAUGAAUUGUUUACGAUGAUAGAAACAAUCAUUUUAAAAUUAAAUUGCUGAAGACAAAUUUAAAAUGCGAACAAAAAAUUUUAUCGUUAAAAUCUAACAAAAGCACAGGAAAAAAAGAAUUCAUUUAAGAGUAAAGAUAUUAAUUUUGAAAGUAAUUUUAGCCACAACAAAAUACAUUGAAAAAAUGUGACAAAAAAG